GCCUCUAAGUCAGAAUCCGGG
rnacentral:snRNA from 1 species